AUUGAACGCUGGCGGCAGGCCUAACACAUGCAAGUCGAACGGUAACAGGAAGAAGCUUGCUUCUUUGCUGACGAGUGGCGGACGGGUGAGUAAUGUCUGGGAAACUGCCUGAUGGAGGGGGAUAACUACUGGAAACGGUAGCUAAUACCGCAUAACGUCGCAAGACCAAAAAGGGGGACCUUCGGGCCUCUUGCCAUCGGAUGUGCCCAGAUGGGAUUAGCUAGUAGGUGGGGUAACGGCUCACCUAGGCGACGAUCCCUAGCUGGUCUGAGAGGAUGACCAGCCACACUGGAACUGAGACACGGUCCAGACUCCUACGGGAGGCAGCAGUGGGGAAUAUUGCACAAUGGGCGCAAGCCUGAUGCAGCCAUGCCGUGUGUAUGAAGAAGGCCUUCGGGUUGUAAAGUACUUUCAGCGGGGAGGAAGGGAGUAAAGUUAAUACCUUUGCUCAUUGACGUUACCCGCAGAAGAAGCACCGGCUAACUCCGUG
rnacentral:rRNA from 1 species